UUUACGAACAUUUUUUUUGUGCGUUUACGAACAUUUACGAACAAAUGUUUGUAAAAGUACAAGAAAUGUUCGUAAAAUGAUCGUGUUACGAACAAUAUUUGUGAAAAAGGACAAAAUUU
rnacentral:ncRNA from 1 species